rnacentral:rRNA from 1 species
AGCGAACGCUGGCGGCGUGCUUAACACAUGCAAGUCGAGCGAGAAAGGGGGCUUCGGCCCCUGAGUACAGCGGCGAACGGGUGCGUAAUACAUGAGCAAUCUACCCUUGAGGCGGGAAUAGCCCAGCGAAAGUUGGGCUAAUACCGGAUAAGACCACAAGAGGAGACCCUAGAGGCUAAAGGCAGCUCUCUUUUGGGGGCGGCCCUUUGAGGAGGAGCUCAUGCCCUANCAGCUAGUUGGUAGGGUAACGGCCUACCAAGGCGAAGACGGGUAGCUGGUCUUAGAGGAUGAUCAGCCACACGGGGACUGAGACACGGCCCCGACUCCUACGGGAGGCAGCAGUGGGGAAUAUUGGGCAAUGGGGGAAACCCUGACCCAGCGACGCCGCGUGGGUGAUGAAGGCCUUCGGGUC